AUACGGAGGAUCCGAGCGUUAUCCGGAUUUAUUGGGUUUAAAGGGUGCGCAGGCGGCCAUUUAAGUCAGCGGUUAAAUCGUGGGGCUCAACCCCAUUCUGCCGUUGAUACUGGGUGGCUUGAUUGCGGUCGAGGUUGGCGGAAUUCGUUGUGUAGCGGUGAAAUGCAUAGAUAUGACGAAGAACACCGAUUGCGUAGGCAGCUGGCCAGACCGCAAAUGACGCUCAUGCAAGAAAGGGCGGGGAUCGAACAGGAUUAGAUACCCUGGUAGUCCGCACAGUAAACGAUGAAUACUUGUUUUCGGCGAUAUAAUGUCGGAGGCAAAGCGAAAGCGAUAAGUAUUCCACCUGGGGAGUACGCCGGCAACGGUGAAACUCAAAUGAAUUGACGGGG
rnacentral:rRNA from 1 species